rnacentral:lncRNA from 1 species
GGGAUGCAAUGAUCAGGAAUGACACUUGGUAUGAGAGUGAGUUACCUAGAGGGAAGAAGGCAGUUUCAAGCAGAUGGAUCUUCACCAUCAAAUAUCUUGCAAAUGGGGAGAUAGAUAGGCACAAGACCAGGCUGGUUGCAAGAGGAUUUACACAGACUUAUGGAGAAGAUUACAUUGACACUUUUGCACCAGUGGCCAAGCUUCACACAAUUCGAAUUGUGUUAUCCAUUGCAACAAACUUGGAGUGGGAUUUGUGGCAGAUGGAUGUGAAGAAUGCUUUCCUGCAAGGUGAGCUAGAAGAUGAGGUAUAUAUGCUUCCUCCUCCUGGUCUUGAGAAUCUAGUGAAGCCAGGAAAUGUUUUGAGAUUGAAGAAAGCUAUAUAUGGGUUGAAGCAAUCUCCUAGAGCCUGGUACAGGAAGCUGAGUACAACACUCAAUGGGAGAGGGUUCAGUAAGUCUGAACUAGAUCACACACUCUUCACACUGGUCGGACCAUCAGGGAUCAUUGUGAUUCGUUUCCCAGUUUGAGAAUAGCACAGCUUCAUCGUCGUUCCAAUCAAACCAGGAUGAAUCACUUUGUGAGAAGCUUGAUUUGGAUACAUAAAGUGGUGGAGAAUGACCAGGAAGUUGAAUAAUGUUGAGUUGAGCUGAGCAUAUGAGUGUGAAGAGAAGAGGAGUUAAGGAGAUGAGGAGAUGAGGCUUAGGGGAGUUUAGGGAGAGCAUGGUACGGACGUCCGUACAAGGCCGUACAGUCCGUACCAUCCAAGCCUCGACCAAAACUUACCGUGCAUUGCCCAAGUGAAAUGGUAAACGCGGAAGAGUUACUCAAGAGGAGAAGGAUCAGAACGUUUAGAGGAUAAGGGAAGAUCAUGCUAGGCUGUGACAGGAUGUAAAGAGAGAAAGCAUGCGAGUCCUCUCAUCCGUCCGUUCCUAAAGCAACCUUUGACUCCACAUGAUCCAAUAGUGCCCAUUUCAAGUCUUGGAAACCCUUGUGUCUCUCAUAUAAAUAUGUAACCUCACUCAUUAAUAAGAUUAAGCAGUUCUGAGUCUCUUUAAUCUCUUAAGUCACAAUGAUUCUCUCUUAGACACAAAACUUCUCUUAAGUCUCAUAAUCUUUCCAAAUCUUUCUCUAAUCUCCACUUAAACUCUCAUUGAUAUUCUGGUUACUCUAAGGAUCUCUAAAAGUCAUAUGGUAUCAGAGCCAGGUUCAUUAGAGUCUGGGGUUGAUCUUUAGAGAGUUACAAGCUGAAGGCUUUGAAGCUACACGCGGGUAGCUUUGAAGGUGUUGAAGCUGUGAUACGUUCUAGUUGAAGCUGUGCUAUGUUCUGUGUGUUUGCGUGAUUCAAGACUCAAGUUUGGGGUGUGUACGUGAUUCAAGACUCAAGAUUUCAUCAGAUUCAAGCUGUUCAAGUCAAGCUGAGUAAAGAUGGAACAUGGGAUGAACAUGAGGAUGAAGGUAGCGGUUACUUUCAAAGAAAGCAACUACCUUGUGUGGUCUCGGAUGGUGAAGACUGCAGUGGGGAGUAAGGGUUUGUGGGGGCAUAUCACAACAGGAGAGGCUCCAAAACUCAUUACUCAGGGAGGAGAUCAAGAAGAGGUCUCCAAUGAAGUGGCUGUAGAGAAAUGGCAACAAGAAGACAUGCUGGUGAUGACGGUUCUUCACGCAUCCUUGGAUCCAGCUAUCUUGGACGCCUAUAGCUACUGUGAAUCAGCUAAAGAGCUGUGGGACACGCUGAAGAAGGUGUAUGGGAACAUUCCAACCUCAGCCGUGUAUUUGAAGUGAAGCAAGCCAUCAACCGUCUAGUGCAAGAGGAUAUGGAGUUCACCAAGCACUUGGGGAGGUUCAGGUCCUUGUGGUCCGAGCUGGAGAUGCUAAGGCCGAGCACAACUGAUCCUGAUCAGUUAAAUGAGAGGCACGAGCAAGAUAAGGUCUUUGGGCUUCUCCUCACACUGAACUCGGCCUACACGCAGCUCAUCCAGCACAUGUUGAGGGCAGACAAGCUUCCAGACCUUGAGGAUGUGUGUGCGCAAAUCCAAAGGGAGCAGGGGUCUAUGGGGCUGUUUGGAGGAAAGGGAGAGCUAUCUCUUGCAAAUCAAGCAGCUCAUGAGGACUCAACCGAGGCUCCACAAGCAAACAAGGCAUGUCACGGGAAGUAUGAGGACAGGAAGUUCAAUGGCAACUGUGAUCAUUGCAAGAAGCAUGGUCAUAAGAAGAGCCAAUGCUGGAUACUACACCCACACCUCAAGCCUGCCAAGUUCAUGAAGGACCAUGAGGGAAGGGCAAAUAUGACUGAAGGAUCAAGCGGAGCUGGCGCCAUCAAGACUACUGAAGUGGAUGGGCAUGGAGGCAAUGAUGGAAAUGGGAAUGAUGGCUUACACUGGUGCCUCAAGCUCACGCAGCAACGACGACUACAUCAAGAGAUCAGACCUUGAUGCUCUCUUCAAAAUGCUCAAGGAAAACGGUAACACCUAUGGUUAUUCCUUUGGAGCGUCUAUGAUUGCAUAUAAGGAUGAUCACUUGAUUAGAGAACUAGUAUAACGGGUAGAUGCUAGGAAUGAGUAUAGAAGUGCACACAUUGCUAGAACUGAUAGGAUGCAUCAAUCACUUAGUAAUCUAUGUCAUAAUGCUAAAAGAGUAUAUAAACCAUUGAUUGUUGAUUCUGGUGCAUCUCAUCAUAUGAUAAGUGAUGAAAACUUGAUUAAGGAUAUCGAACCUACUCAUGGGCAUGUGAUGAUAGCAAAUGGGGAUAAGAUACCUAUUAAGGGAAUAUGAAAGCUUAAGCUGUUUAACAAAGAAUCUAGAGCCUCUUACAUGCCUGAAUUCACAUCAAACCUAUUAUCUGUGAAGAAAUGUACUAAUGAUUUACAAUGCAAUGUUAUCUUUAGUCCUAAUGAUGUGAAGUUUCAGGAUAUUGAGAGCAGCAGAUUGAUUGGGAAAGGGGUGACUAAGGGAGAUCUCUAUAUGCUUGAAGAACUCACUUCUGUUCCUGAUUAUAGUUGCUCGUUUACUACUGCUUCUUUGUUGAAUAAAAAUGCUUUGUGGCAUGCUAGAGUAGGACACCCUCAUGUUAAAGCAUUGAACUUAAUGGUACCAGGUGGGAUCCUACAUCAGACAAGCUGUCCGUAUACUCCACAGCAAAAUGGAGGGGCUGAGAGGAAGAAUAGGCACCUUAUGAAAGUGGCAAGGUCGCUUAUGUUUCAGAGUAAUGUUCUAAAGAGAUUUUGGAGUGAUGCGGUUGCCACUGCUUGCUACUUGAUAAACAGAACUGCAACCAAGAUUCUGAAUGAGAAGGCUCCAUUUGAAGUUCUGAACAAGUACAAGCCAGCUCUUGAUUACUUGAAGGUCUUUGGAUGUCUAUGCUUUGUGCUCAAACCAGGACAGAUGCGCAACAAGCUAGAAGCAAGGAGUACUAAGGCUGUGUUCAUAGGAUACUCAGCUACACAGAAAGGAUACAAAUGCUAUGAUCCUAUAGCAAGGAGAGUACUUGUAUCUAGAGAUGUGAAGUUCUUGGAAGAUAGAGGAUACUAUGAAGAAAAGAAUCAAGAAGAUCUGAAGGACUUAACAUCAGACAAGGCUACAACCUUGCGGAUUAUCCUUGAAGGUCUUGGAAUCAGUACAUCUCAGGAUCCGAGAGAUCACGCAACUACACCCCCUGAAGUUGGUUCACCAUCCCACCUUGAUCAUGAGGGAGGAGAGGAGCCUAUGCAAGAGGCUAACCAAGAUGAAGGAGGAGUAGAAGAUGAAGGAGAAGAGAGCAUAGGCUCUGAUGGUCAUGGGCAUGAUCAUGGUGUGAUACAAACACCUUCUCAAGAUGAAGUGGUAGAAGAACAACAGGAAGAAGAACCGGUUGUGCAGCCACUGAGGAGGAGUACAAGGAUAAGGAAGGAUCCUUCUAGCUGGGUAAACACGAGAGUGUACUACAAUGCCCAAGCUGUGGAGCAUCCUUCUUAAGUCGUGUGCUCCUUUGCUCAAUAUCCAGAAGCACAUUGCGCUUUCAUGGUAAACUUGGAUGAGAAUCACAUCCCAAGAAGCUAUGAAGAGGCAAUGAAGGAUAAGGAAUGGAAGGAAUCAGUAGGAGCUGAGGCAGGAGCUAUGAUAAAGAAUGAUACAUGGUAUGAGAGUGAACUACCAAAAGGGAAGAAGGCAGUGUCUAGUAGAUGGAUCUUCACAAUCAAAUACAAGGCUGAUGGGCAGAUUGAGAGGAAGAAGACUAGACUAGUAGCAAGAGGGUUCACUCAGACAUAUGGGGAGGAUUAUAUUGAGCCAUUUGCUGUAAGACCCGAUCCCGGCCGACUAGGCCGCGGUCGAUGACUCACGUCGCUCAGUCCAUACCCGGACCGAACCUCUAAAAAUUUUGCCCUUUAUUUAAAAUAUCGCCCAUUGGCGAGAGCUAACUCAGAUCCUAGCUCAAGACUACCUUAGUCAUUCCCUAGCUAGAUCCUUUCAACUUAUGCACAGCGGAAUAGUAUCUACUUAACCAUUGGUCUAUAACCAAUAUAAUACUUGUCUGGUCGAAUCACCUCGACUAAUGGUUAGUAUACUCAACUACCAGCUAGCUCCAAGGUCAAUCCCGAACCCAAAUCAAGGCAUACAAAUCUGAGGUUCCAUUCCCCUAACCAUUCUAUCUAGAUCUAUGCAACAUUGCUAGAUCAUACCUUUGCCACAUCCACGGAGCUUGUUAGCUCAUCGGCCCAGCUACACUAGCUGAAUGAACUCAUAAACCAGCUGAUCGAGCUGCGAGGUAGCUUUGCCCAGCUCCCCGUCCACUCGUCCAACUCCCUUAUACCUGCAUAAACUCUUCCCUUGGGUACUUAGUCAUUCAGCCAACCAUCCCCACAGACAUAAGUAACCCUUGAGAAGUCUUCAAACAGCUAAGGACAUGCAUCUGGCCCUUACCGGCUCAUGCACUGUCCCACAUCCUUUUUGCCUUAUCAACUUAUGAUACCAAGUCCAGCUCAUGGACUAACAAUGCCCAUCAGAUCCUGAGUCAAUCAACCAACCACCCCACAUGACUCAGAACUGAUGAGUCUUCAUACUUCCUAAUCAGUCAUGGAACCAUGUCCCACUGAACCUGAUUAGUGUUGCUCUUACCACCGGUGCAUCCUUUGAUCAAUCAGAUCAGACACCUUGAUCCAUCAUCCAAGGAUCAGGUCGUCCAUCCUUGCCCAUGAUCAGAUCACACACGGCCUGCCUUACCAACACCAAGGUUGAUAACCAGCAAUUCCUUAUGAUCAAUAUCAUAAGUGACAAUAUGUUCCAGCACACAAACAUAUGAUCAGAUAUCCUAACACAAGGAUCUGACCCCAAUAUGCCCUCAGGUGCAAUUUCGACCGCAAGCAAACCUGCUCCAAAAAUCAAUUAAAAUUCAUGACAAUUCAUGAUAAAUCAUAACUAAGAGAAUGGUCCAAUCAGAUUUCCCAGAACCGGCCUCCAUCCCAUAGAUCUCGGCCAAGAUCAGCCAAACCGGCCCAAGGGACCAUCUCUAAAUCAAUCCCUAAAAACUCAUUAGGAUUCAUGAUAAUUCAUGAUAAAUCUUAACUAAGAGAAUGGUCAAGUCAGAAUUCCAAGAACCGAUCUCGAUCCUAUGGAUCUCGACCUAGAACAGCCCCACCGGCCACCUUGACCAUCUCGAAAUCAAUCAGAUAAAAAUCCCCAAAUACCAUGAUAAUUCAUGAUAAUUCACCACUAAGAGGAUUCCAAAGUCAGAUCGCCAUAAAUCCAUCAGGAAGUAGGAGAUCCGGACUUAGCUGCCAAACCAAGGCCAUGGAGGGUUCUUCUGAACCGGCCAAGCCAUGGUUCAGUGCUACUAUGUCUAAUCAUCAAUCUCAAUCAUAAGAAGAAGAAAUAAUAUGAUUAAUAAUCAUAAAACAGAGUAAGGUGUAACUGCAGGACCAGAUCAGCCCAUAGUGUACCAGACUAUGUCCAAUGGUCUGCAGUCCCCACCUGUUACCUCAUCAGGGGCGUCCAUGCUCCUCCUAGCACGCCUUCAUCAAACCCUUAUCACAUACUUCCAGUAUUGAUAAGAUCUAACCAUGGUUCGUGCCCAUCACUCCUUCCAUGGAACUUCCAUGAAACCAGUUUCUAUACUGCAUCCAUCUUCAAGGCUGUUCAUGCCUUUGAGAGUGGAGUCAAGCCUUCCCCCUUCUCUCCUAACCAAUUGCGUGUGUUCCCAAGACACAGAGGAAGCCUUAGACAUGAUCAUCCAUGAUCAAUCACCAUCCAAAGGUCGUGCAUCACUUCCCUCUUUGUUCCCCAUGAAACUGCUUUCCACACCAAUCUCCCUUUAAGGCUGCAUUGGCCCUUGGGAAUGGAUUCCGGCCAACUCCCUCCUUUCCUCACCAUUUGCGUGUGUUCACAGGCUCCAGAUAAGGCUUUGGGUGUUGUCAACAAUGAUCAAAACCGUUCAGAGGGUCGUUCUCAACUUCCCCCUUGAUCUGCCCCAAAACUGUCUCUUUAUGGCCUUCACACCACCAUGGGUCUUGGAUUGGGAAUCCGACCAACUCUCUGUAUUUUUUUCUCUGGAUUCUUUGUGUUUCAGGGUGUAGAAGGAAGCCCUGGCGUGCCUGCAAAGGCACGGACUUGCCUUCCUUAUAUAAGAGAAGGGGUGGUUACUUCUUAACCAUUGCAUCCCUUCGGUAUCAUUUUCGGCCAUUGAUUUAAUCAAUGGUACAGAUUGCACCCUUUCGCCUAUGGCAGUUACCACACGCCCUGGAACUGCCAAACCACUCCUGGACAUGUCCAAAACUAUCCCACACGGACUGCCCAUGCCCCUGGCUCAAUCCCAAGAGCCCACCAGCCCAUCGGCCUACACGGGUCAUCCACAUGGCCCGACCACUGUCCAGACCCGGCCCAACUGCCCAAGACCUGAAGACUCAGUCCAGCUGAGUUGAGCUGAUCCCCAGCUGAUACAGCUGAGUGAGCUAGACCAUCCAGCUCAGGGAGCUGACCUACACUUCAGUGAGCUACACCGAGCUGCACUACACUUCACCUAGCUGGUUGAGCUUGCUUACUGCAUCGCCCAGCUGUUAUACACUGUGUCCAGCUUGCUUUCUUUAUCUUCUUCAAUCCUUCUAAGUCCUUUAGUCAAUUUCCAGACCUAGACUUAGUUUUCCCAUGAUCCAUUCUGAUCACUCACUUCAUCGAGCUUCACCUGGAUCUCGUCCAGCUACCAGCUCGCUUGUCCAGCUCCUUUGAGCUUGCAUCUGCCUUAUUUUGGUUAGGUUCCAGCUUCCUGAUUCCCUUAACCACGUUUUGGACCAUGACACGCUCGUCCUUAGGUCAUGUGCCUGACUGGUGCGUUUCUUUGCACCGCAGUCCGUCCGGACGAUCCUAUCCAGGAUCGGGGACAUGACAUUUGCCCCGGUAGCCAAGCUACACACCAUUAGGAUAGUUCUAAGCUUGGCUGUUAAUCUUGGAUGGGGAUUGUGGCAAAUGGAUGUGAAGAAUGCAUUAUUACAAGGAGAGCUUGAGGAUGAAGUCUACAUGUAUCCUCCACCUGGUCUAGAACAUCUAGUGAAGGAAGGGAAUGUACUGAGGUUAAAGAAGGCGAUCUAUGGCUUGAAGCAAUCACCAAGAGCUUGCUACAACAAGUUGAGCACAACUCUGAAUGGCCGUUCUAAUAACCCUCACGAGCAGAUAUAAUUUUGGUCGAGAAAAUUCUUUAAGAUCAGUUUGAAGAUUGAUCGAUCAGAAUUUAAAUAAAAAUCGACACUGUAAAUAAAAUUCUUUAAGAUCAGUCUUUUGAUCGAAAAACCAUCUCUUGAUGGCUCUGGUCGAGUGUUAAUUAUUAUUGUCAAUUUUUAUUCAUGCUGGGCGAGUUUAUUCAGAGCAAGACGAGAUUCGAAUGAUGAAAAAUAUUUAGUCAAAACAGUCCGAAAAAUAUCGACAAGACUCUUAAAAUUAUUUCUGAACAGUCACAUGCUUUUCACCUUCAAGCUUACUUGCUUCCUCAGUAAUUAGGUCACAUGACCUGCACCUACUUGCUUGCCUGCUUGCUCAUUAAUUCAGUCACAUGAUUGUCACCAGCUGCUUGCAGCUUUCUUCUUGGGAGGGAAAGGACAACAGCUUGCUGUUGGAAGUGCUGAAGCUGCUCUCCACAUGUCCUUUCUAAGCCUUGCUUUGUGCUGAGUGAAACCCUCACCUGAAGCAACUUCUUAUGUUAUAAAACACCAUCUUCUCUCCUCUGGGCGUUCAUAACCUGCAAGAAAACCCAGAGAAAAAUUCGUGGAAGUACUGGCUGCCAUUUAGAGUUAUGGUAUGCCUUCGUAUCCCAUCCCCAUUCUUUAGUACUUCCAUUAGAGCGGUUUGUUUCUAUCUAGAGUGAGAUUGGCUAUCUAGUUAUCGAGCUCAAUUAGGAUGUUGUUGAGGAAGGAAGUAUUUGAGAGAAGACCAGUUACCGUUGGCCUGCAAUAGUAUACUACUAAGUGUUCGAGUAUCACUCAAAUCAGUCUGGCGUGUUGAAGAACUUUUGGGAAAAGUUGAAGAAGUGUACUCUAGUAACUUGAUCGUUUAAAAAGUAGAAGAUGAAAAGGAGCAGAGUAGAAGACAGUCUGAUAAUCAGGGAAGAUGAAGAUGUGUUUAAGGCAUUGAAAGGAUGGUCGACAUCUAAAAAAGUAACAUGUUCUGUAUUCUUGUUGAACAUGAAUUCACUGCAAUAGCCUAGGGAUUUCACCAAGUGGUUCUUGUCGAGUUCUAGUAGUAGUUAGAAGAUUAUGAGGAGCAUUUCAGAUAGAUCAGAAGUGUAAAGAAUACUGUAAGUGAAAUCAUUCUUGGAAUGGGUUAGUGUGUUUAUUUGAGAGUAGCACCCCUGGUCUGAAUCAUGUUGGCGUGAUUGAUCGUGCAUUUUCUUGUUUGAUUGUUGCACGGUUAAUCAAGUUAACAUUGACCAGACUGGAGAUGUUACAUUCACGUAUGGCACAUCACCUCACGUUCCAAAUUUCAUGUUGCUGUUAUGGGGGAAAGUCAGAUAGAAAAGGUUGAGAAGUGAUAGUCUACAGAUACAAGAUUGUUAGAAAAAGUAUGCAGACCGCAGUUGACAAGAGUUGUGCAGAGUAAAGAAUUUGGUUAUCUUGAAAGAGGCUGCUCAAAAAAGAAAGGAUCGGUUGGGGGAAUCAAGGGAUCGACCAUGAGUUGUUUUGAUAUGGAGAGAAGACCAGUUACCGUUGGCCUGCAAUAGUAUACUACUAAGUGUUCGAGUAUCACUCAAAUCAGUCUGGCGUGUUGAAGAACUUUUGGGAAAAGGUGAAGAAGUGUACUCUAGUAACUUGAUCGUUUAAAAAGUAGAAGAUGAAAAGGAGCAGAGUAGAAGACAGUCUGAUAAUCAGGGAAGAUGAAGAUGUGUUUAAGGCAUUGAAAGGAUGGUCGACAUCUAAAAAAGUAACAUGUUCUGUAUUCUUGUUGAACAUGAAUUCACUGCAAUAGCCUAGGGAUUUCACCAAGUGGUUCUUGUCGAGUUCUAGUAGUAGUUAGAAGAUUAUGAAGAGCAUUUCAGAUAGAUCAGAAGUGUAAAGAAUACUGUAAGUGAAAUCAUUCUUGGAAUGGGUUAGUGUGUUUAUUUGAGAGUAGCACCCCUGGUCUGAAUCAUGUUGGCGUGAUUGAUCGUGCAUGUUCUUGUUUGAUUGUUGCACGGUUAAUCAAGUUAACAUUGACCAGACUGGAGAUGUUACAUUCACGUAUGGCACAUCACCUCACGUUCCAAAUUUCAUGUUGCUGUUAUGGGGGAAAGUCAGAUAGAAAAGGUUGAGAAGUGAUAGUCUACAGAUACAAGAUUGUUAGAAAAAGUAUGCAGACCGCAGUUGACAAGAGUUGUGCAGAGUAAAGAAUUUGGUUAUCUUGAAAGAGGCUGCUCAAAAAAGAAAGGAUCGGUUGGGGGAAUCAAGGGAUCGACCAUGAGUUGUUUUGAUAUGGGAAGAUUAAGAUAAAGUAAGAGCUAAUAUCCAGAACUCCUUUCAGAGACUGUUCAAUAAAGAGUGUACAGUUACGUUUUUAGAAUUCGGGGACGAAUUCUUUUGAGGGGGGAAGAAUGUAAUAACCCUCACGAGCAGAUAUAAUUUUGGUCGAGAAAAUUCUUUAAGAUAAGUUUGAAGAUUGAUCGAUAAGAAUUUAAAUAAAAAUCAACACGGUGUAUUAAUCUCGACGGGGCUGUCUUUUGAUCGAAAAACCAUCUCUUGAUGGCUCUGGUCGAGUGUUAAUUAUUAUUAUCGAUUUUUAUUCAUGCUGGACGAGUUUAUUCAGAGCAGGACGAGAUUCGAAUGAUGAAAAAUAUUUAGUCGAAACAGUCCAAAAAUAUCGACAAGACUCUUAAAAUUAUUUCUGAACAGUCACAUGCUUUUCACCUUCAAGCCUACUUGCUUCCUCAGUAAUUAGGUCACAUGACCUGCACCUACUUGCUUGCCUGCUUGCUCAUUAAUUCAGUCACAUGAUUGUCACCAGCUGCUUGCAGCUUUCUUCUUGGGAGGGAAAGGACAGCAGCUUGCUGUUGGAAGUGCUGAAGCUGCUCUCCACAUGUCCUUUCUCAGCCUUGCUUUGUGCUGAGUGAAACCCUCACCUGAAGCAACUUCUUAUGUUAUAAAACACCAUCUUCUCUCCUCUGGACGUUCAUAACCUGCAAGAAAAACCAGAGAAAAAUUCAGAGAGAAAGAGAGAAAGAAGAGAGAAAAAUUUGUGAGAAAAACUAUUUGAAAAUUUUAGAAAAAAAUUCAGAGAAAAGAAUUGAGCAUGGACAAACCUUUCUCACCAUCCUGUGACUUUAUCCAGUGUGUUUUGGUGUAGUUAAGAGCUGAAGGUUUGGUGUCCAAGAGUGUAGAAUCACCCAUGUUCUUCAGCCUUUGUUUUGAAUCGGUAAGAUGGUUGUGGAUCAGUUUCUGUGAGAAGUUUUGUUAGUUUGCCUACACUGGAGAUAAAUUCUGAAUAAAUCCAACCAUGGAUUCUUGUGGUCUUGAUCAGUUUAAUUCGUGGUUAGCUUGAAGAGAGACAACCAGUCAAGUUUAAUUAGUUGAGUAAAACCGGUAAGCUUCAGCUUCUUGAUUCAACCAUGUUUUGAUGAGAACCAAUUGCUGUAUGUUGGUUAACCUGUCAGGAUCAGUUGUCCAAGGUCUUGUUCUCUUCAGUCUUGGUUGGUUUAUGAUUUAAUCAGUCUCAUAGAACCAGUAGACGAACUGAUAAGAAUUAUGGGAAUUAAAUUCUGGACGUCCUGUUACUGCAAGAAAAACCAGGGAAAAAUUCAGAGAGAAAGAGAGAAAGAAGAGAGAAAAAUCUGUGAGAAAAACUAGUUGAAAAAUUCAGAAAAUAAUUCAGAGAAGAGAAUUGAGCAUGGAUGAACCUUUCUCACUAUCCUGUGACUUUAAUCAGUGUGUUCAGGUGUGGUUAAGAGCUGAAGGUUUGGUGUCCAAAAGUUUAGAAUCACCCAAGUUCUUUAGCCUUUGAUUUUAUCGGUAUGAGAUCAGUUUUACUUGAGCUUCAGUUCUUGUUAGGUAAUCAAAACGUUUUGGUCUGUUUCUGAUCUUGAACCUAUCAUGGGUAUCUUGUCCUGAUCAGGUUAGACGUGUGUUCAGCUUGAAGUUUAUAUCAACCAAGUUCAUCUUAAAGCUUGAGGAAAUCGGUAAGCCAUAGCUACUAGUUCAGAGAAGUUUUGUUUGGAGCAAGUGGACUGAUUUGUUAAGCUUCCUGUCCAGAUUAGUUUUUAAACCUGUGUGUGGAUUGAUCUUGGUUCAGUUAUGUCCCUUAGAUAUUCUUUUAAAGGCUUAGCUGAACUGAAUUAUCCUUCAAACGAACUGAACUGCUUUGAACUAAGUUGAGUAGAGUUUCUGUUGGAAUCAACCUGACUGAUCUUGUAUCCACACAUUCUGAAUCAGGAGUGAAAUGGAGUGUUAUUAGUUGAGCUCGAGUCUAGUCUUCCCUAGCCAAUCUCAUGGAAUCAAAGGUGAGUCUAGAUAGAUGAUGAAUGAAUUAUGAAUGAGUAUGCAUGAUUGCAUAUUGAAUAUGGUUGAUUAAUUAAUAAUUAAUCAUGAAUUAAUUAAGGGAUAAUCAUUGAUUAAUUAAGGAUUAAUCAUGGAUUAAUUAAGGAGUAAUUAUGGUUGAUUGAUUAAGUAUUAUCCCUUGAUCUAUAUUUAUAUAUGAAGUAUUUAUCUAGUUUAAAUACUUAAGAAUUAAUAAGAAUAAUUCUUUGAGGUUAUCCCGAGCCUUAGUACUUGUUCUCAAGUACUAAUCUAUAAGUACUAAUCUUCGAAUAUCUGAUGGAGAUAAUGGUUAUAUUUAUUCCCCGUUAGGCUCGGUUAGCCUUGGUGGUUUUCCGGGUUUAGCAUAUAUAUAUAUUAAGAGUAUGAGUGAUUGGCGGGUAUCGUGGAGGUGAUGUUUAAGAUAGAUUCACAUGGAUGGAUUGAGAGGCCUUAUAAUUAUAUUAAUUAUGGAAUAUAAUUAUUCAAAUGGUGUCGCUUGCUCGGGAUACUAUUGAUAUGUGUUUGGGUGUGGGAUUAGACUCACUGAGUAAACUAGUUACUCAUGACUCAUUUGAUAUGCAGGUAACCAGUAGGUGGGAGACCUUUACUCUAGGACGGGAAGGAACAGCAUUAGCCAGCGGUAGUUUUAUUAUCCUUGCACUCGUUUUGAUAUACUUUAUGUAAAAGGUUUGUUGACCGAAAACCUCGAGGUUAAUCUAUAAGAUUUUGUAAGAUUAUUUUAAAUGAAUAAGUAAAUAGUGUAUAAAAAAUGUUUUUAAAGUACGGGUUCCAAAUGAUAUUAGUCCUUGUCCGGACGAACCAACUAUUGGGUAUUACUCUUAAGGUUGUAAAGCCUCGGGUUGUACCUAAUAGGAUAUGUGUACUUAGGCGGUUGGCCUAAGGUACCUGGAUUUAUUUCGGGAACUUCGGGUUAGUCGUUUAUGUACACAUUGUGGCUUCUCGGUUUGGUUUCAGUUACGAGUGAUCGGCUGUGCAUGUUCUUGUUUGAUUGUUGCACGGCUGGUCGAGUCAACUUAUACUUAGACCAGAUCGGGGCUGUCACAGCCGUGGCUUUAAGAAGUCAGAAUUGGAUCAUACGCUCUUCACCCUCACUACACCCUCAGGUAUGGUUGCUCUCCUUGUGUAUGUGGAUGAUAUCAUUAUCACAGGGAGUGAUAAGGAAGGUAUCAAAGCAACCAAGGAGUUUCUCAAGUCUAUGUUUGAAAUCAAAGACUUGGGAGAAAUGAAAUACUUUCUUGGAAUUGAGAUUUGUAGAUCCAAGGAAGGUUUAUUCAUGUCCCAAAGGAAAUAUACACUUGAUCUUUUGAAAGGUGCAGGUGCUUAUAGAGGCAAGACAGCAAGGAUGGCUACAAAGUACCAAGAGAGGGGGAGAUUGAAGACAGCAAGCCAUUUCAUGAUCCUAAACUCUAUAGAAAACUUGUUGGCAAAUUGAUUUACCUUACCAUCACAAGAUCUGACAUAUGCUUUGCUGUGAAUCAAGUGAGUCAACAUAUGCAGCUUCCCAAGGAACAUCAUUGGCAUAUGGUGGAGAGGCUGCUGAUGUAUCUAAAUGGCUCGCCGGAUCAAGGAGUAUGGAUGGGGUGCAAUGGAAGCACUGAAAUGGUGGGCUAUUGUGAUGCUGAUUGGGCAGGAGAUAGAGCUGACAGAAGAUCAACAACCGGUUAUUGCACAUUCAUUGGAGGCAACUUGGUGACUUGGAAGAGCAAGAAGCAGAAGGUAGUGUCAUGUCCAAGUGCAGAAGCCGAGUAUAGAGCCAUGCUGAAGCUCACCAACGAGUUGGUGUGGAUCAAAGGCAUCUUGAAGCACUUGGAGAUUGAUCAAGCAACUCCAAUGACAAUGCAUUGUGACAAUCAAGCUGCCAUUCACAUUGCAUCGAACUCGGUGUUCCAUGAGAGGACCAAGCACAUUGAAGUUGAUUGCCACAAGGUGAGACAGAUGAUUGUGCUAGGAGUGAUCUUGCCGUGCUAUACAAGAAGUGAAGAUCAGUUAGCGAAUGUGUUCACCAAGGCUGCAAGGCAAAAGACUAUGUAGUCCAUUCACAUCAGAUUGGGACUCAUAGAUCUUGGGAAGAGAAGGAGCUAAUCCCCUUAGCUAUGAGAUCUUUACUCUUUUUCCCUCAUCAAAGUUUUAUCCCAUUGGGUUUUCUUUGGUACGGUUUUUAAUGAGGAAGAUCUCAUGGCUUUCCAAGCUUAGGCUUUCACAAAGCUAAGCUUAAGGGGGAGUGUUGAGUUGAGCUGAGCAUAUGAGUGUGAAGAGAAGAUGAGUUAAGGAGAUGAGGAGAUGAGGAGAUGAGGCUUAGGGGAGUUUAGGGAGAGCAUGGUACGGACGUCCGUACAAGGCCGUACAAGCCGUACAGUCCGUACCAUCCAAGCCUCGACCAAAACUUACCGUGCACUGCCCAAGUGAAAUGGUAAACACGGAAGAAUUACUCAAGAGGAGAAGGAUCAGAACGUUGAGAGGAUAAGGGAAGAGCAUGCCAGGCUGUGACAGGGUGUAAAGAGAGAAAGCAUACGAGUCCUCUCAUCCGUCCGUUCCUAAAGCAACCUUUGACUCCACAUGCUCCAAUAGUGCCCAUUUCAAGUCUUGGAAACCCUUGUGUCUCAUAGGAGUUGGGAUGAAGAAGUUAUCCCACUUUCAAUUCAUCUGACAUAUGCUUUGCUGUGAAUCAAGUGAGUCAACAUAUGCAGCUUCCCAAGGAACAUCAUUGGCACAUGGUGGAGAGGCUGCUGAUGUAUCUAAAUGGCUUGCCGGAUCAAGGAGUAUGGAUGGGGUGCAAUGGAAGCACUGAAGUGGUGGGCUAUUGUGAUGCUGAUUGGGCAGGAGAUAGAGCUGACAGAAGAUCAACAACCAGUUAUUGCACAUUCAUUGGAGGCAACUUGGUGACUUGGAAGAGCAAGAAGCAGAAGGUGGUGUCAUGUUCAAGUGUAAAGUGGUGGAGAAUCACCAGGAAGUUGAAUAAAUCUCAUAGGAGUUGGCAAGAAGAAGUUAUCCCACUUUCAAAUCAGGUGAUUUCAGUUUCCCAGUUUGGGAAUAGCACAGCUUCAUCGUCGUUCCAAUCAAACCAGGAU